GGUUGUAUAGUGUAGCGGUUAUCACUCCGGAUUCUGAUUCCGGCAACCCCGGUUCGAUUCCGGGUACGACCU
rnacentral:tRNA from 6 species